rfam:Felis catus isolate Cinnamon breed Abyssinian chromosome B1, whole genome shotgun sequence.
GCCUGGGUGGCUCAGUCGGUUGAGCGUCUGACUUCAGCUCAGGUCAUGAUCUCACAGUUCGUGAGUCUGAGCCCCGCAUCGGGCU